AAGUCGUAACAAGGUUUCCGUAGGUGAACCUGCGGAAGGAUCAUUACUGAAUUGUCAACAUGAGUUGUUGCUGGUCUUCGGAAGAGGGCAUGUGCACACUCUGUUUACACAUCCACUCACACCUGUGCACCUUCUGUGGUUCUGUGGCCUGGGGGACUCUGUCCUCCUGCUGUAGUUCUGCAUCUUUACACACACACACUGUAACAAAGUAUCAUGGAAUGUAUGCCGCGUUUAACGCAAUAUAAUACAACUUUCAGCAACGGAUCUCUUGGCUCUC
rnacentral:misc_RNA from 1 species